rnacentral:rRNA from 1 species
AUUGAACGCUGGCGGCAGGCCUAACACAUGCAAGUCGAGCGAGCGGCGGACGGGUGAGUAAUGUCUGGGAAACUGCCUGCUGGAGGGGGAUAACUACUGGAAACGGUAGCUACUACCGCAUAACAUCAGAUGAGCCCAGAUGGGAUUGGCUAGGAGGUGGGGUAACGGCUCACCUAGGCGACGAUCCCUAGCUGGUCUGAGAGGAUGACCAGACACACGGGAACUGAGACAGGGUCCAGACUACUACGGGAGGCAGCAGUGGGGAAUAUUGCACAAUGGGCGCAAGACUGAUGCAGCCAUGCCGCGUGUGUGAAGAAGGCCUUCGGGUUGUAAAGCACUUUCAGCGGGGAGGCGUUACCCGCAGAAGAAGCACCGGCUAACUCCGUGCCAGCAGCCGCGGUAAUUC